UUUUCGUAAUCCGCGUGUUUGGCAUAUACCACACGUGCGGGAGCGUGUUGGAUUUUUUCCUUCCUGGAACUUUCUGCAGCCUCCUGGAGCUUCCUGCAGCACCUUUGUUGCCUUUUGGAGCUUCCUGCAGCACUUUUGCUGCCUUUUGGAGCUUCCUGCAGCACCUUUGCUGCCUUUUGGAGCUUCCUGCAGCACUUUUGCUGCCUUUUGGAGUUUCCUGCAGCACUUUUGCUGCCUUUUGGAGCUAUCUGCAACCUUCUGGAGCUUCCUGCUGCCUCCUAGAGCUUAUGUGGCUUCGUUCCUACAAUGUUAGGUAGCCUAACAUUGUUGAAGACUUCUCUUAGCAAGCUUGGUCUCGUGGAUAUGUUCGCCCCCGCUUGAGGGGGAGUGUUGGAAAUAAAAGAAG
rnacentral:lncRNA from 1 species